CCUGGGUGCUCUUCCCGUGGCGGAGGAGCUGUAGUCCCUACGUGUUAAGUAGAUCCCAUCCCAAAAUAACAACGGCACACGCUUCCAUAGUCUCUUUCGGUAGCCGGACUGGAACCCCCUCUGGUGACAGGCGCUCAAGGCGAGGACGCUUCGGACGCGGACAAGACGUGUCAGUCCUCGAGUUGGUGCCCUGUCUCUAAAAAAUAGGAUCCUGAGAGAGGAAAGAAUUUUUGUUAAACAACUAAAAGUUUAAGUUAAGUUGAGCCUCUGAAUGAGAACACAGCCCAGCUGACACCUGUUUGUAACUUCGAGACCAGCCUGAGGAGAACACCCAGUGAAACUGUGUCCAGACUCCAAGUCCACAAAACACUGUGAGAUAAUAAAUCUCUGGCUUCUCUGGACUCAGCUUCUGAGAAUGAUUGGCAGCUCUAAAAUCAUGGCCCCGGUGCCUCUUACAUUCAGUGAUGUGUCCAUAGACUUCUCUCAGGAGGAGUGGGAAUGCCUAAAUUCAGAUCAGAAGAAUUUGUACAGAGAUGUGAUGUUGGAGAUUUAUACUAACUUGGUAUCACUGGCUUGAAGAACUUAAUUUCUUGGAGUACAUGUCUGCUAAUGACAAAUUUCUGAAUGUUGAGCUUUAAGCCAACUACAGAGGAUGAAAUGGAUGGAUGGCAUCACUGACUCGAUGGGCAUGAGUUUGAGUGAACUCCAGGAGUUGGUGAUGGACAGGGAGGCCUGGCAUGCUGCGAUUCAUGGGGUCGCGAAGAGUCGGACAUGACUGAGCGACUGAACUGAACUGAAUGACAAAUUUUAAUUGUUUCUUUUACUGAAAUGCCUUUGUUCUUUAUGGAUUCUUUUCUUUGCUACUGAAUUCUGCGUCUUGUUUUAUAUUUUUCUGCUUCAUUUCUGAAGACAAGUCAUUUUUGUCUUCAUGCUUCCAAGAUUUUCUCAUUACCUUCAGUUUUCAGCUGUUUAAGUAUGAUGUGCCUCAGUAUGGUUUUCUUUGUGUUAAUCCUUUUUGGAUUAACAGGGUUUAUUUCCUUUGGGAUUGAGUGGCUUGAUCUCCUUGUUGUCCAGAGACUCUCAAGCGUCUUCUCCAGUACCAAAGUUCAAAGGCAUCAAUUCUUUGGCACUUAGUCUUCUUUAUGGUCCAACUUUCACAUCCAUAAAUGACUACUGGAAAAACCACAGCUUUGACUAUACAGACCUUUGUUGGCAAAGUGUAUAUGUAUCAUCACCUAUUAAUUGUUUCUUUGGAGAACCCAGACUAAUGCACACAAAAAAGAAAAAAAAUCUCAGCUAUGCUGGGGCUCAGCAAUUAUGCCAUCCACUGAAUGUAACCUAUGGAAGUUGUUUGAAGGAACUCUUAGGGGAAGGGAUCCAGCCAAAUGAUACUUAAAUCACAACUAAGCUUUCAGGGAAAGGGAAAUGAAGUGCACAUCCAAGAGUGAUGCUCCCGCACCUCUGACCUUCCAGUUCCUCUCAAAGUCUCCAAGCACUUUCCCUUCUUGGUGUUGGUUCACAAACUCAGGAGUUUCCAGGUGAAACUCAAAACUGACCCAUGUACAUGGAGGGCAACAGAAUAGGCAGACCACUCCAAAUUGGUAGGUGGCAGUGUAAAUAAGCAAGGGAACUUAUGUAGGAGGCUUAUCUUGGGCAGCUGCAAGCUGUUUACAGAGAAGCCUUAAAUGAGUUCAGUCACAUUUACUGUCCAGAUGGUCUCAACAACACAUUAGCAUCUCAAGGCUGUAUCCUUGAAAUGGCUCCUGGUGUGAGAACAUUGGGCAGACUGUACAUUCCAAGCAAGGGGAUAGGGAGGAGUCUCCAAUUGCCAGGGUCCAGCUUUCAGGUCAACCAGUGGUCACCUCCUUUUGAUGACCUCUUCCAAUAGCCUCCCUCUUUUAAAAGGCUGUCAGUGGGACCCUGCACAGCCUUUUGUUAGAGCACCUCCCAGUCCAGCACUAACAUCCAAAUAAUACUCAUUUGGAGGAGUUCCAUGUUGUGAGACAACCCCACAAAGUAAGAACACCUGUUUAUCUGCCCAUACCUUUUAUUUCUUUGUCAAACUGUGCUCACAUGGUGGGGGUCACAUUUUCAGGAAGUCUGUAUGAAAGAGAAACUUCUUUAACUUUGGAUAUUACAAAGCAUCUUAAUGUACAGAAUUCUGACACAUUUUCUCCCUUUUUCUUGUAAUUUUCUCCACAACUAUUCAUAACUAUUCAUGGACUGCGUGCUGCAGCCCAUGGGGUCACAAAGAGUCAGACAUGACUGAGUGACUGAACUGAACUGAUUCAUAAACAGACAUAUUAGUGACAAUCAUUCUGCCACAAUCAUCGUAAGACUCAAUUUGUUGUUUAGUCACUAAGUUGUGUCUAACUCUUCUGCAAACCCAUGGGCUGUAGCCUGCCAUGCUCCUCUGUCCAUGGGAUUUCCCAGGCAAGAACACUGGAGUGGGUA